GGACGUGAGAGCGAUCUGGUGGUGACAGGGGCCAGGCUGGUUUGGCCGAGCUGGCUAGUCGGGAGGGUUGUCCCCUCCUCCCUGACCGCAGCCCUCCCAAUGCUGUGCCCGGGGUGAAGAGGUGGGUCUUCCCAGAAUAGAGACAGAUGUUCUUUGGUCGAGGGUACAUGACUAACUGUGCUCCCCACUAGAACCCCCAAACAGGCUCUCUUAAGCAACACAACAACAAAAAUCAGUAAUGGGCAUGGAAAGAGGAAAAUCAGAAAAUCCUCGCCCCCACCUCCACCCCUUCAAACGAGAUGGCUGCAAAGAAGGAGGAUGAUUUAU
rnacentral:snRNA from 1 species